AUUCUUCAAAUAUUUUUUUUUUUUCAAAUUUCAAAUAUUGAAAAAUUUCAAGAAGUAAUCUUUAAUUGGACAGUAUGGCGCAUUAGAUUUGUAAAAUCUUUGAUCACAUUUAUUUAUUUGUUAUGCUGAAUCUAACCGUGUAUUUAGAUUUUUACUUUUGGGUCCAGUUUUCAAAUUGGUCUACAUUAAGGUCCAAAGGGUCCAAAAUUAAACUUUGUUUGAUUUUAACAAAAAUUGAAUAUAUGGGGUUCUUUGAUAUGCUGAAUCUAAACCAUGUAUUUAGAUUUUUGAUUUUUGGGCCCCGUUAUCAACUUUGUCCACAUUGAGGUCAAAAGGGUCCAAAAUUAAACUUAGUUUGAUUUUAACAAAAAUUGAAUUCUUGGGGUUCUUUGAUAUGCUGAAUCUAAACAUGUGUUUAGAUUUUUGAUAAUGGGCCCAGUUUUCAAGUUGGUCCAAGUUGGGGUCCAAAAUUAAACUUUGUUUGAUUUCAACAAAAAUUGAAUAUAUGGGGUUCUUUGAUAUGCUGAAUCUAAACAUGUAUUUAGAUUUUAGAUUUUUGGCCCAGUUUUCAAGUUGGUCCAAAUUGGGGUCCAAAAUUAAACUUUGUUUGAUUUCAACAAAAAUUGAAUAUAUGGGGUUCUUUGAUAUGCUGAAUCUUACCAUGUAUUUAGAUUUUUUAUUUGUGGGCCCGCUAUCAAAUUGGUUCAUAUUGAGGUCAAAAGGGUCCAAAAUUUAACUUUGUUUGAUUUCAUCAAAAAUUGAAUUCUUGGGGUUCUUUGAUAUGCUGAAUCUAACCAUGUAUUUAGAUUUUUGAUUUUUGGGCCCCGUUAUCAACUUUGUCCACAUUGAGGUCAAAAGGGUCCAAAAUUAAACUUAGUUUGAUUUCAACAAAAAUUGAAUAUAUGGGGUUCUUUAAUAUGCUGAAUCUUACCAUGUAUUUAGAUUUUUUAUUUGUGGGCCCGCUAUCAAAUUGGUUCAUAUUGAGGUCAAAAGGGUCCAAAAUUAAACUUUGUUUGAUUUCAUCAAAAAUUGAAUAUAUGGGGUUCUUUGAUAUGCUGAAUCUAACCAUGUAUUUAGAUUUUUGAUUUUUGGGCCCCGUUAUCAACUUUGUUCACAUUGAGGUCAAAAGGGUCCAAAAUUAAACUUAGUUUGAUUUUAACAAAAAUUGAAUUCUUGGGGUUCUUUGAUAUGCUGAAUCUAAAAAUGUAUUUAGAUUUUUGAUUUUUGGCCCAGUUUUCAAGUUGGUCCAAAUUGGGGUCCAAAAUUAAACUUUGUUUGAUUUCAACAAAAAUUGAAUAUAUGGGGUUCUUUGAUAUGCUGAAUCUAACCAUGUAUUUAGAUUUUUUAUUUGUGGACCCCACUAUCAAAUUGGUUCAUAUUGAGGUCAAAAGGGUCCAAAAUUAAACUUUGUUUGAUUUCAUCAAAAAUUGAAUUAUUGGGGUUCUUUGAUAUGCCAAAUCUAACCAUGUAUUUAGAUUUUUAAUUUUGGGUCCUGUUUUUAUACGACCGCAAAAAAAUUUUUGUGGUCGUAUAUUGGUAUGACGUUGGCGUCGUCGUCGUCGUCGUCGUCCGAAUACACAUUAGUUUUCGCACUCUAACUUUAGUUUAAGUGAAUGGAUCUCAUUGAAAUUUUACCAUAAGGUUCAAUACCACAAAAGGAAGGUGGGGAUUGAUUUUGGGGGUUAUGGUACUAACAGUUAAGGAAUUAGGGGCCAAAAGGGGCCAAAAAUAAGCAUUUUUGUAACUUCCACACAUAACUUGUGUGUAAGUGUAUGGAUCUCUCUGACAUUGUACCACAAGGUUCCAUAUCACAAAGGGAAUGCUGGGAUUGAUUUUGGGGGUAAUUGUCUCCAAAUUUUAGGAAUUAGGGGCCAAAAAGGGGCAAAAAACAAGCAUUUUUCUAGUUUCAUGACAAUAACUUGUUUGUAAGUGUAUGGAUCUUUAUGAAAUUGUACUACAAGGUUCCAUAUCACAAAGGGAAUACUGGGAUUGAUUUUCGGGGUAAUUUCCUCCAAAUAUUAGGAAUUAGGGGCCAAAAAGGGGCAAAAAACAAGCAUUUUUCUAGUUUCAUGACAAUAACUUGUUUGUAAGUGUAUGGAUCUUUAUGAAAUUGUACUACAAGGUUCCAUAUCACAAAGGGAAGGCUGGGAUUGAUUUUGGGGGUUUUCCCUCAAAAUUUUAGUAAUUAGGGGCCAUAAAAGGGCAAAAAAAACAUGCAUUUUUCUAGUUUCAGGACAAUAACUUGUGUGUAAGUGUAUGGAUCUUUAUGAAAUUGUACUGCAAGGUGUCCAUAUCACAAAGGGAAAGCUGGAAUUGAGUUUGGGGGUAAUUGCCCUAAACGUUUAGGAAUUUGGGGCCAAAAAGGGGCCAAAAAACAAGCAUUUUUCUAGUUUCCAGACAAUAACUUGUGUUCAAGUGUAUGAAUCUCUCUGAAAUUGUACUGCAAGGUACCAUACCACAAAGGGAAAGCUGGGAUUGAGUUUGGGGGCGAUGAAUCAUAAGGGGGUUCAAAAAAUUGGGGGGGGGGGAUUUUUUUUUUCCUUUUUUUUCUUUAACAUUUUCCAUUUUAAAUUGGUUAUUUCUGAUUUAUAUAUAAAAGCAAAUAAUAAUGAUAUGGUUUGAAUAGGCAUACAUGUGAACCUCCCGACGGGAGUACAAUAAUCCCGUUUUCAGGGGUCUCCUCCCCCCCUCCCGUUGAAAAAAUCCCGUGUAUGAAAUUUUUCAUGAAUGAAAAAUUUCUGCCCAACAUAACAUCUCAGGCAUCUGGUGUAACUGACAUUACCUGAAGUUAUAUUUUACCUGUAAAUCAAUUAACAUGCAUAAUUAUAUGGCUUCACUUGUCAGCUUGGGUGUCAAACAUACUGGUAAGCAACGAUUUUUACCUCAGGCUAACUGCCGUUGUGUAACAAAAACUGUGUAUUUAUUGGGUUACUUCCCUUGAUUUAUCCUGUUUUAAGUUACUUUCCUUUUAAUAAUGAAAAUUUUUAAAAGAAUAUAAAUAAAAUAUAAAUUGAACAAAUAAUCAUAAAAGGAUGGUUAUUAAAUGAUUUUAAAUGUCUUAGGACAAAUAAAAAAAUAAUAAUUUGAAAAUUAUUUGAGGAUUCUAUACUUCCUUUUAAGGCUUAAAUUGAAAUUUAUAUAAUAACUAUGACCCUAACUUUACAGAUAGAAUGAAUUUCUGAGUUUGCAAAUAAAAACUAUUUGCAAGAGAAAAAAAAAAAAAAAUAAAAACUAUUUGCAGACAGCUAAACAAAUGUUCUGGUUGCAAUGAUUGUUUUAUAGAAUAUGAAGUAAAAAAUUUAAAGAACAUACUGGAAAAAAACAAUGUUAGAUUGAACAUGUAGAAUAUAAAGAUGGAGAAACUUUAUAAGUACAAGGGUACUAUAAACAUAAUAAAUUGGUUGGAAAGUUGAAGUAAAAAAAACUUUAAAAGACCAUUUUUACAGCACACGGUUACAUUUACAACAAAAUUAAUGUCGAUUAAAAACCUCCUGAUCUGAGUCCUAAUCUCCUGACCAAAAUUUCCCAAUCUCCUGAUCUGAGUUUCACAGUCCAUCACAUGUAUGAAUAGGUAAAUUGAAAAUUUUUAAGUUCUUAGACCACUUUCAUUCUGUGUCAGAAACCUAUGCUGUGUCAAAUAUUUAAUUACAAUCCAAAUUCAGUGCUGUAUCAAGCUUGAAUGUUGUGUCCAUACUUGCCCCAACUGUUCAGGGUUCGACCUCUGCGGUCGUAUCAAGCUGCGCCCCAGCGGAGCAUUUUAUUUAAAUUGGUCUACAUUAAGGUCCAAAGGGUCCAAAAUUAAACUUAGUUUGAUUUUAACAAAAAUUGAAUUCUUGGGGUUCUUUGAUAUGCGGAAUCUAAACAUGUGUUUAGAUUUUUGAUUCUGGGCCCAGAUUUCAAGUUGGUCCAAGUUGGGGUCCAAAAUUAAACUUUGUUUGAUUUCAACAAAAAUUGAAUAUAUGGGGUUCUUUGAUAUGCUGAAUCUUACCAUGUAUUUAGAUUUUUUAUUUGUGGGCCAGCUAUCAAAUUGGUUCAUAUUGAGGUCAAAAGGGUCCAAAAUUAAACUUUUUUUGUUUGAUUUCAUCAAAAAUUGAAUUAUUGGGGUUCUUUGAUAUGCCAAAUCUAACCAUGUAUUUAAAUUUUUAAUUUUGGGUCCCGUUUUUUAAACUGGUCUACAUUAAGGUCCAAAGGGUCCAAAAUUAAACUUAGUUUGAUUUUAACAAAAAUUGAAUUUUUGGGGUUCUUUGAUAUGCUGAAUCUAAACAUGUGUUUAGAUUUUUGAUUAUGGGCCCAGUUUUCAAGUUGGUCCAAGUUGGGGUCCAAAAUUAAACUUUGUUUGAUUUCAACAAAAAUUGAAUAUAUGGGGUUCUUUGAUAUGCUGAAUCUAAACAUGUAUUUAGAUUUUAGAUUUUUGGCCCAGUUUUCAAGUUGGUCCAAAUUGGGGUCCAAAAUUAAACUUUGUUUGAUUUCAACAAAAAUUGAAUAUAUGGGGUUCUUUGAUAUGCUGAAUCUUACCAUGUAUUUAGAUUUUUAUUUGUGGGCCCGCUAUCAAAUUGGUUCAUAUUGAGGUCAAAAGGGUCCAAAAUUAAACUUUGUUUGAUUUCAUCAAAAAUUGAUCUAACCGUGUUUUUAGAUUUUUAAUUUUGGGUCCCGAUUUUUAAAUUGGUUUACAUUAAGGUCCAAAGGGUCCAAAAUUAAACUUAGUUUGAUUUUAACAAAAAUUGAAUUCUUGGGGUACUUUGAUAUGCUGAAUCUAAACAUGUGUUUAGAUUUUUGAUUAUGGGACCAGUUUUCAAGUUGGUCCAAGUUGGGGUCCAAAAUUAAACUUUUGUUUGAUUUCAACAAAAAUUGAAUAUAUGGGGUUGUUUGAUAUGCUGAAUCUAACCAUGUAUUUUGAUUUUGGACAUUGGACCAUAAUAGGUAAAUUAAAAAAAUUGAAGUUCUUAGACCACAUUCUUUCUGUGUCAGAAACCUAUGCUGUGUCAAAUAUUUAAUCACAAUCCAAAUUCAGAGCUGUAUCAAGCUUGAAUGUUGUGUCCAUACUUGCCCCAACUGUUCAGGGUUCGACCUCUGCGGUCGUAUCAAGCUGCGCCCAGCGAAGCAUUUUAUUGUAACUUCAAUAAUAACUUGUGUGUUAGUGUAUGGAUCUCUCUGACAUUGUACCACAAGGUUCCAUAUCACAAAGGGAAAGCUGGAAUUGAGUUUGAGGGUAAUUGCCCAAAAUGUUUAGGAAUUUGGGGCCAAAAAGGGGCAAAAAAACAAGCAUUUUUCUAGUUUCCAGACAAUAACUUGUGUUCAAGUGUACGGAUCUCUCUGAAAUUGUACUGCAAGGCACCAUACAUUGUAACACAAAGGGAAGGCUGGGAUUGAGUUUGGGGGUGAUGAAUCAUAAGGGGGUUCAAAAAAUUUGAGGGGGGAUUUUUUUCCCCUUUUUUUCUUUAAAAUUUUCCAUUUUAAAUUGGUUAUUUCUGAUUUAUAUAUAAAAGCAAAUAAUAAUGAUAUGGUUUGAAUAGGUAAAUUAAAAAAAUUUAAGUUCUUAGACCAUAUUCAUUCUGUGUCAGAAACCUAUGCUGUGUCAAAUAUUUAAUCACAAUCCAAAUUCAGUGCUGUAUCAAGCUUGAAUGUUGUGUCCAUACUUGCCCCAACUGUUCAGGGUUCGACCUCUUUGGUCGUAUCAAGCUGCGCCCAGCAAAGCAUUUUAUAUGAUAUGCAAGCGGGGGCAUCAUCUGUGUCCCAUGGACACAUUCCCCAUUUAUUUUUAUACGACCGCAAAAAAAAUUUUGUGGUCGUAUAUUGGUAUGACCUUGGCGUCGUCGUCGUCUGGCGUCGUCCGAAGACACAUUGGUUUUCGCACUCUAACUUUAGUUUAAGUGAAUGGAUCUCUAUGAAAUUUUACCACAAGGUUCAAUACCACAAAAGGAAGGUUGGGAUUGAUUUUGGGGGUUAUGGUACCAACAGUAAAGGAAUUAGGGGCCAAAAAGGGGCCAAAAAUAAGCAUUUUUGUAACUUCCAGACAUAACUUGUGUGUUAGUGUAUGGAUAUCUCUGACAUUGUACCACAAAGUUCCAUAUCACAAAAGGAAUGCUGGGAUUGAUUUUGGGGGUAAUUGUCUCAAAAUUUUAGGAAUUAGGGGCCAAAAAAGGGGCAAAAAAGAAGCAUUUUUCUAGUUUCAUGACAAUAACUUGUGUGUAAGUGUAUGGAUGUUUCUGAAAUUGUACUACAAGGUUCCAUAUCACAAAGGGAAAGCUGGGUUUGAGUUUGGGGGUAAUUGCCGAAACAUUUAGGAAUUUGGGGCCAAAAAUAAGCAUUUUUCUAGUUUCCAGACAAUAACUUGUGUUCAAGUGUAUGCAUCUCUCUGAAAUUGUACUGCAAGGUACCAUACCACAAAGGGAAGGCUGGGAUUGAGUUUGGGGGUGAUGAAUCAUAAGGGGGUUCAAAAAAUUUGGGGGGGGAUUUUUUUUUUUCUUUUAAAAUUUUCCAUUUUAAGUUGGUUAUUUCUGAUUUAUAUUUAAAAGCAAAUAAUAAUGAUAUGGUAGGAGAUACACACCAAACAGGAUGUGUAAAUUAUUAUAUAAUAAGUAUUGUGCAAUAGCAAGAAAUUUUCAAUUGCACAGUAUUGCACAAUAGCAAGAAAUCUUCAAUUGCACAGUAUUGCACAAUAGCAAGAAAUCUUCAAUUGCACAGUAUUGCGCAAUAGCAAGAAAUAUCCAAUAGCACAAUAUUGCGCAAUAGCAAGAAAUUGUCAAUUGUACAGUAUUGCGCAAUAGCAAGAAAUAUUUAAUUGCACAGUAUUGUGCAAAAGAAGAUACUUCGUAUAAAUUGCUUAUUUCUUGACCAAUUUCAAUGGGGUUUUAUUCUUGAAUUCUUGGGGUUCUUUAAUAUGCUGAAUCUAACCGUGUAUUUAGUUUUUGGAUUUUGGGCCCCGUUUUUAAAUUGGUCCACAUUGAGGUCCAAAGGGUCCAAAAUUAAACUUUGUUUGAUUUCAUCAAAAAUUGAAUUAUUGGGGUUCUUUGAUAUGCCGAAUCUAACCGUGUAUUUAGAUUCUUAAUUUUUGGUUCCGUUUUCAAAUUGGUCUACAUUAAGGUCCAAAGGGUUUAAAAUUAAACUUAGUUUGAUUUUAACAAAAAUUGAAUUCUUAGGGUUCUUUGAUAUGCUGAAUCUAAACAUGUAUUUAGAUUUUUGAUUAUGGGCCCAGUUUUCAAGUUGGUCCAAAUCGGGGUCCAAAAUUAAACUUUGUUUGAUUUAAACAAAAAUUGAAUAUAUAGGGGUUCUUUGAUAUGCUGAAUCUAGCCAUGUAUUUUGAUUUUUGGGCCCCGUUAUCAACUUUGUCCACAUUGAGGUCAAAAGGGUCCAAAUUAAACUUUGUUUGAUUUCAUAAAAAAUUGAAUUCUUGGGGUUCUUUGAUAUGCUGAAUCUAACCAUGUAUUUAGAUUUUGGAUAUUGGACCAUAAUAGGUGAAUGUCCAAUUUAAAAUUUUUAAGUUCUUAGACCACAUUCAUUCUGUGUCAGAAACCUAUGCUGUGUCAAAUAUUUAAUCACAAUCCAAAUGCAAAGCUGUAUCAAGCUUGAAUGUUGUGUCCAUACUUGCCCCAACUGUUCAGGGUUCGACCUCUGCG